UUCGCAAUGCCCGAAAGGGUGACGAUGCGACGCCGCGUGAGCGAAGAAGGCCCUAGGGUUGUAAAGCUCUGUCGAGGGUUAUGAAAUAUAGAUGGGUUAAUACCCCAUUUAUUUGACAAAAGCCCAAAAGGAAGCCACGGCUAACUCUGUGCCAGCAGCCGCGGUAAUACAGAGGUGGCGAGCGUUGUUCGGUGUUAUUGGGCGUAAAGAGCACGUAGGUGGUUUUGUAAGUCAGGUGUGAAAGCCUUCUGUUCAAAGGGAGAACGGCAUCUGAAACUGCAGAUCUUGAGUGUAGGAGGGGAGAGUGGAACUUCUGGUGGAGCGGUGAAAUGCGUAGAUAUCAGAAGGAACGUCGGCGGCGAAAGCGACUCUCUGGCCUAUUACUGACACUGAGUGUGCGAAAGUUAGGGGAGCAAACGGGAUUAGAUACCCCGGUAGUCCUAACCGUAAACGAUGGGCACUAAGUAGAGGGGUUUU
rnacentral:rRNA from 1 species